UGGUGAGUUGUAUCUCUAGACAGAGUCACUUAUAGUGGUUACUCCAGACAGAGACACAGUUAUAGUGGUAUCUCCAGACAGAGACACAGUUGUAGUGCUGAGUUGUAUCUCCAGACAGAGACACAGUUACAGUGGUGAGUUGUAUCUCCAGACCGAGACGCAGUUAUAGUGGUUACUCCAGACAGACACAGUUGUAGUGGUGAGUUGUAUCUCUAGACAGAGACGCCGUUGUAGUGGUGAGUUGUAUCUCCAGACAGAGACACCGUUGUAGUGGUGAGUUGUAUCUCCAGACAGAGACACCGUUGUAGUGGUGAGUUGUAUCUCCAGACAGAGACAGUUAUAGUGGUAUCUCCAGACAGAGACACAGUUAUUGUGGUGAGUUGUAAGCUCUAGACAGAGACACAGUUAUAGUGGUGAGUUGUAUCUCCAGACAGAGACACAGUUGUAGUGGUGAGUUGUAUCUCCAGACAGAGACAGUUAUAGUGGUAUCUCCAGACAGAGACACAGUUAUUGUGGUGAGUUGUAAGCUCUAGACAGAGACAGUUAUAGUGGUGAGUUGUAUCUCCAGACAGAGACACAGUUGUAGUGGUGAGUUGUAUCUCCAGACAGAGACACAGUUGUAGUGGUGAGUUGUAUCUCCAGACAGAGACACAGUUGUAGUGGUGAGUUGUAUCUCCAGACAGAGACACAGUUGUAGUGGUGAGUUGUAUCUCCAGACAGAGAGACAGUUACAGUGGUGAGUUGUAAUCUCCAUACCGA
ensembl:lncRNA